ACCAAGCCCACGCGCCGAGCCCGUCCUCCUCUCCGGCGUCCCGGCCGCAUUCAUGGGGCGGCGGCGGCGGCGGCGUUGUAGUUGGUGCGGCCCGCGGCGGAGGCGCUUCUCCGGCGUCCGCUCUACCCCAAUCUACCCGUGGUAGGUAGGCCGAUCUCCGGAUUGGUGAACAAUGGCAUUUCAUUUACGCUUUUAGUGUUAUGUGGUUUCGUUUGGGGACGAUUAGGAAUCUUAAGGAUGCUGCGUGUUUAGGAGGAUUUGCUCAUGUUCUUUGCUGUUGAGGUUUUGUUCGAUCCCUUCAAACUUCUAGGCAUUGAGUAGAAAUGUUUGAACCAAUGACCAACUGCAUGUUCACUAAUUUCACGAAAUAAUGCGAUGCUUUGAGCAUGGUUCAGAUGAGAUUUUCAUGGUGGUAACUGGCAAGGUGUCCACAAUCCCCAUAGCUAUGCAGAUGUCGCUUGUGUGUGCUUCAUGUAAUUGCGUUUUGAUGUGGACUAUCAUUAAGCUAUAAACAUGUGUAAAGUGGAUUGGUAACUGAUUCUAUUCUCUUGCACAUUUUCUGAUGAUUUGUCAUCUGGUGGAUACCCAAAUAAUGAGGUGCUCCCUUUUGAACUUUUUAUAUGAAGUUGCCGCUUUUGCCUCAUUUCAGCUAUACUAUAUUUUCUGUUUAUGGUUGCUAUGGGGUCCAGAGUAUACUGUGGUAUUAGCGCACCGGCUUGAUUGAAUUAAACUAUGUUAGAGAAAUAGGUCGAUGUUUAUAAUGUUUGCACUAGGAUGUACUGCUACAAAACUUGUGGAGUAGAGUAGACAAGAGGGGGAUGAUCUAGGUAGGAGAGCUCUACCUAGAAGAAACAUCAUUGACAUGAAACAUUAUUGUGAAUCAUCCAUGACAUUGUUAAAAGAAACAUCGGGCUGUAAAAGUAUUAUAAGCAUUAGAGUUGCCCUAUAAAUCUAAUUCUAUCUAAUAUAAGGAUGUUGUGGUUGUAUUUUGCCACACAGUUACUUUGGUUCUGCUAUGGUUUCAUAAUUGUUUUUCAGUGUAGACAGAUAUGAUAACCACCGUACGGAAUUAGACUACCAGAAAUCCUCUUACGUUCCGACAUUGUUAAUACCACAAUCGAUGCCAAUGCACCGAAUUCUUUGCAUAAUCUUAUUCUGCACAUAAUCAAUGCAGGUUAGAACUGCAAUCCUCCAUAAAUCAAUGAAGAAUAGUGAGUCAAACCAUAGCCAAAAUCCAAUAACAAUCCCUAUGAUUGUGGCUUAGUAAAGACCUAAAUUCAUCCUUAUUUGGUUCAGAUCCAAAUCUGGAACUUUCAAUUGGGCAUGCACUCAACACAGUUCCACAAAGCCCAUAAUCGUUGCUGUAAAUUGAUGGAUCGUUCAGUGUCUCAAGCUGGCCACCUGUGGGUGCCCUUCCUGACAGAGUGACAGGUGGUUAUUAGAGAGAUGUAAGGAGCUGAGAAAUGUUAAGCUAGAGAUGUUGGUCGUAAUAUGACCUGAAAAUGCAUUGCAAGAUAAAUCCAGGGACUCUAGGGCAUUCAUAUUGCCAAUAUCAUUUGGGAUACUGCCAGAUAUAUUAUUUCUUGAUAAUUUUAGGAACUGGAGACCCUUAAGGUUUGCAAACUCUGCAGGUAUCUCAUAAGAAAAAAUGUUGCUUGUAAAUCAAUAACUGCCAGAAGUGGAAUUGUGCUUUCAAAUGUAUAAGAUCUGCUCUUCCAAAUUAGUUCAAUUCUGUUAGAAUAUGGGGACAAAAAGUAAUUUGAAUAUGUGAACGCAACAUAUGUUGAUCCAAUGUUGAGCCUUUUGUUCUGUUGCAUCAUUGAUCUGAAGUUAGCAAAAUGUGCUGUGUGCUGGUUGAACCUACCAAUUGAUUGUCAGCUAGAUCAAGUAGCUGCAGUUGAGAAUGAUUUGAUAGUUGCCAGGGUAUGUAUCCUUCGAACAUAUUUGAGCAUAACUGAAGAAUUUUAAGAGAAGGCAAGCUUUCCCAUAUCCUUGAAGAAAUUUCAGCAGAUAGCCUAUUGUCCCGGAGAUCUACCAUUGUUAAGUUCUUGCAGAUGGGAAGACUUUUGCUUGUUGAGGUUGGGACUUUGCCAGAGAAAGCAUUGCUUGACAAAUCUAGGAAAAACAAUUGUUGAAGAUUUGACCAGCAAGUAGGGAGGUCCCCAUAGAUCUGAUUGCUUGAUAGAUCCAAGAAGUUCAGUAAAACCAAUUGACAGAACUCCUGAGGAAGCAUCCCUGUAAAUUGAUUCGAAUCGCCUGUGCAAUGUCACCAGAGAAGUGGUUUUGCCCUAUCCAAGCAUACGCCAAUUUUGGACAUGGCAGAAGCAUUCCCAACAAGUAGUUAUUUCUCACCAGCAAUUUCUGAAGCUGAAAUCCACUGCAUAGAUCAGGUGGUAAUUCCCCCAAUAAAUUGUUGUUGGACUAGUCUAGAAUAAGGAGUGCGAUGCUUUUCUAGUUCC
rnacentral:sRNA from 1 species